rnacentral:lncRNA from 1 species
CGAAUAGAGAUUUCAGGAAUAGCCAGCUUUUACUAGGGCUGGUCCUAUAGUUUGAGUGAGGUGGUUCUCUCAGGCAAAAUAUCUCCCUGCUGAUCUCAAGCUCAGUGGCAGAGGUUGUCCCAUCACUACUGCUGAAGUUUGGACAGUGCACCAUAUAUUUGAAGCACUAUUGUACCAUUUUAACAGUCAUGGCUUCCCCCUCAAAAUCUUAGGAGCUGGAGUUAAGGGUGCUGAGAGUUGUUAGGUAAAGGGACCCCUGCCCGUUAGGUCCAGUUGUGGCCGACUCUGGGGUUGCAGCACUCCUCUCGCUUUAUUGGCUGAGGGACCCGGCAUACAGCUUCCGGGGCAUGUGGCCAGCAUGACUAAGCCUCUUCUGGCGAACCAGAGCAGCGCACGGAAACGCCGUUUACAUUCCCGCCGGAGCUGUCCCUAUUUAUCUAUUUGCACUUUGACGUGCUUUCGAACUGCUAGGUUUGGCAGGAGCUGGGACUGAGCAACAGGAGCUCACUCCGUGCAAGUAGAUAAAGUGCAAGUAGAUAAAUAGGGACAGCUCCGUUUACCUUCCCGCCGGAGCUGUCCCUAUUUAUCUACUUGCACUUUGAUGUGCUUUUGAACUGCUAGGUUUGGCAGGAGCUGGGACUGAGCAACAGGAGCUCACUCCGUUGCAGGGAUUUGAACUGCCAACCUUCUGAUCGGCAAGUCCUAGGCUCUGUGGUUUAACCCACAGCGCCACCCGCAUCCCUGCUGAGAGUUGUUAGGAGGCACCAAUUUCCCUCACAGAGCUACAAUUCCCAGAGUUCCUUGGGAGGAACGGUGGGUUGUUAAACCAUGACUGAUAACGAGAGCAUUUUAAAUGUGUGGUACAUAUGUGGCCUUAGAGGCAACAGUCAGGUUUUUCGGGAUUUUGCAUGGGGGUGGAGGCAUUGUGUAGACAUCUGGUUCUUCAUCUCAGCAACAUGUCUUGAGUCAGCUAUGUAAAUGCUUCUAAUUUAAGAAGCUGGUCCCUCGAAAAAAGAAAAAGCCACAGUAGGAUGACAUUUUGGUUGGCCCUAAUUCAAGGAGUGAUACUAUGGCCGGUUGUUGUUGUUUAGUCGGGUCACGAAGAGUCGGACACGGCUAAACAACAACGACACACCAUAGUGUUACUGUUUUUGUUGUUUUGUUGUUUAGUCAUGUCCAACUCUUCGUGACCUCAUGGACCAGAACACGCCAGGCACUUCUGUCUUCCACUGCCUUCCGUAGUUUGUGCAAACUCAUGCUGGUAGCUUCGAGAACACUGUCCAACCAUCUUGUCCUCUGUCAUCCCCUUCUCCUUGUGCCCUCCAUCUUUCCCAACAUCAGGAUCUUUUCAAGGGAGUCUUCUCUUCUCAUGAGGUGGCCAAAGUAUUGGAGCCUCAGCUUCAGGAUCUGUCCUUCCAGUGAGCACUCAGGGCUGAUUUCCUUCAGAAUGGAUCGGUUUGAUCUUCUUGCAGUCCAUGGGACUCUCAAGAGUCUCCUCCAGCACCAUAAUUCAAAAGUAUCAAUUCUUCAGCGAUCAGCCUUCUUUAUGAUCCAUCUCUCAUUCCAUACAUCACUACUGGGGAAACCAUAGCUUUAACUAUACGGACCUUUGUUGGCAAGGUGAUGUCUCUGCACUUUUACUAUAUUUUAUUUUAUUUAUACCCCACCCAUCUGGCUGGGUUUCCCCAGCCGCUCUGGGUGGCUUCCAGCAAAACAGAGAAAACAUAAUAAAACGUCAAACAUUACAAACUUCCCGAUUCAGGGCUGCCUUUGCAAGAGAAACAAAACCCUGCAACCAAACCACAGUGACUUGUUUCCCUGAAUCAAAAUAGAAGUACAGAACUGCAUGCCACAUUUGUAGAAGGAAAUGCAAAAAGCAGAACAAUUGUUGCAGUGUCUGGGAGCACAGAGCACCCACAACCAAUUGAUCACAGAUCUGUUUGGUGGUGCCCAGUGACUUGGAAUCUUGCACUCUCUGUUCCCUGAAAGACAAUGCUCCCUGCACAAUGCUCCCUUGGGCUUCUUUUCUCUUCUCCUGGGCCUGGGCAUUUUAAUUGCCUAUAUAGUUCAGAACUCGUUUCAAGCUUGGCCAACAAUGACAGCUCUUGGAGAUUUAGGGCGUUCUCUUUGUGUGGUGUGGCGGGAUGCCCCAUGGAAUGGAGUUUCCCCAGCAGCACUAUGCAGAUGUAAGAAUUCCUGAGAGUUCGCUUAUGGAUAGCAGGGUUUGAUAUUUUUCCGCACAAAGAUCUGACUGCGAAGAGUCAUAGGAGAGCGGAGCCAUGGAUCAAGUCAGAACUAGAGAACUAUGAAGGACCUAAUAAAAAAAUUCCUUCCAGUAGCACUUUAGAGGCCAACUAAGUUUGUUACAGUGGUACCUCGGGUUACAUACGCUUCAGGUUACAUACGCUUCAGGUUACAGACUCCGCUAACCUAGAAAUAGUGCUUCAGGUUAAGAACUUUGCUUCAGGAUGAGAACAGAAAUUGUGCUCUGGCGGCAGCAGGAGGCCUAAUUAGCUAAAGUGGUGCUUCAGGUUAAGAACAGUUUCAGGUUAAGUACGGACCUCCGAAAUAAUUUAAGUACUUAACCCGAGGUACCACUGUAUUGGUGUGAGCUUUCGUGUGCAUGCACACUUCUUCAGAAACACGAAAGCUCAUACUAAUAACAAACUUACUUGGUCUCUAAGGUGCUACUGGAAGGAUUUUAUUUAUUUUGCUUCGACUACUGCAGGCUAACACGGCUACCUACCUAUAACUAUGAAGGACCUGUAACUUUAUAAAUGUAUUGUGGCAUAAGAUUGUCAGUUGCACAAAGUGUGGUCUUCAAUAGCCUUCUCUCACACACCCACACCCCGCUGUAAAUAAUAUAGUUUGUCCCAUGAAGCUUUAUUAUCACAUAUCUGUACUCCACCAUUUUCCCUGACGGAGACUCAAGAAAAGGCUAAGUAGUAAAUCCUACACAAAUCCAAAGCAGAGUCCCAGAUUUCUAAUGCCAUGCAGCCUGCAGUCACUACUUUUUAAACUGACGUACAGAAAUCGACACCAUUUCAUUUCCUUUGAACUGUUUUGGAUGCUAGCCAUGUGUGUACAUUCUUCUGGUUCAAAAAAAGGUGUUUUCAAGGUGCUUGUUCUAUGGCAUGUUGCUUUAUGGAACCAUUUGUGCAAUACGUUUAAUAAACUUUUGCACAUUUCUUGUUCAGACAGGCGAGCCAGAGGUAGAGCAGGCUCUCAUGAUUAGAUGAAUGAGUACAUCAGAGACAAAAGGCGACUUUUCAGCAAUUUGAUGAUGGCAUCAGGAGAUAAUGUAAUUACAAGCAAUGUUUUGCUUUGGCUACUACAUAACGUUUGUGUGUGAGAAAACGAGCAAAGGCUUUGCAUAUUUUUUGACUAGUGCAUCCAGUGAUCUAACCCUUCCAAAUCCUUUAAAAAGAAGGAAAGAAAGAAAGAAACUUGGAAGGGGGGGAUUAAGAGUGCAAUUCACAUUUCUUUCCUCCUUUCAAUAUCACUUGCUUUUACCCACCAAGUGAAUUCAAAAAGGUUUGCAAAAACUGUGCCACAUCAUAACAGUAAAAAAAAAAAAAAAGAUUGUGUUUUUAUUUCAUAAAAUUUGUAUACCGCUUGAUUGUAAAAAAAAAAAA